AGAGAUUUUCGUGCGAUUUCCAUGAGAGACUUGGGGUUUUUCAAUCGUUGUUGAAUAUCUUUUCUGAAGGAACUUUUGAGGCGCUGAAGUUGUGGAUUAAGGCGAUUCAGAUCUUCCGUCGCACCACCGUCUAUUAGCAGUGGCUCAAUGGAGAAAUUCCAAGUCGAUCAACCGUAUUGACGUUGGCAUUGGCUUGAAUAAGAAUGCGAAGGGAUUCGAUGUCCGACAUAAGGCAGGCAAGCUACAGGAAUAACAACAUGUUAUUUGUUUUCCUCUGAUCACUCGUAAAUUUUAAGGAAGGAUUAAAAAAAUAAAAUAGGAACAUUUACAUGCA